AUACAGUUGGUCACUGUUCCAUACUGGGAGCCACUUCAAGGAUGCAGCCUUGAGAGUAAUACCUUAUUACGACCAUUUGAACUGUGUAUGUGAUUGAACUCCGUUAAGGCCUCUAUAUAAACUUUUAAGAUUCUAGCAGUCGAGUGGGUGGUAAGUUCCUUUCCUCAUUAAACCUGCCACCCACCAAUCUGGAGUGGCCUACCUCUCUUUUCCCGUCUCUCCUUGCCCUAAGUGCACUGGGCCAGUUUCAAAUUUCACCUGGGGGAACUCCAGAGGUUGUGAACAAACAGAAAUAUAAAGAAAGAUCACCAUGGAUAAAGCAUGCUUGGUGGUUUUGGAAUUUAGAGGAAGUAAUGUUAUUGUUUACAACAGUGUUACUCUUCAUUAUGAGAUUUUUUUGAUCAUUAUAGUACUCUGUAAAGUUGCAAGUAAUCGCUAACAAACUCCCUCACUAAGAGAAAUUUAUAUUAAUUAAAAAAAUCUUACAAUAAAUACGCCAAAAUUAAACAAACGAGACGAAUUUAUAUAGUCUGAACACUUUUUAGUUGCCUGUAGAAUUUGGAUCAAGUUCAAUAGACACAGGUAAAUAAACUAGAAGAAAUUGCUUGAAUAAGGUAGAUAGCAUCACUUAGCAGCUGAUUCUUGUUCCGACAAAAUUUAGAGAGUAAGACAACUUUCAAGUAAAAUGGACUUGAUUUUCUUGUUCCCCAAGAGAAAAGAAUCAAGCUACUUAGGUAGGUGGAGUGAGGACUAGAACCCAAGCCUUCUGCCUCCCAGCUGAUAGUUCUCUGAUUUUCCACAGUCCUCGAGCAUUUACACACCAGCUCCAGGCGCUACCUAAGCCAGGUGCUCUCACUUUUCCAGCCCGGAUCUUCACUCACUCCUAAGAUCCUUUAACGAGUGUUCUGAGAGCUGUGCAGUCCUUCGAUUCAUUCAAAGCAUUCUACAGCGAACACUAGGGGGGAAAAGAACAAACAAGAUAAAUUUCAAAUAUAGGAUUCAAUUACUUUUCACAACUCGAUGAUGUGUCAAAGGCACGCUGUGUUUUGUUUUGAGGGCGGGGAGAUGACUGGGAGGGAAUCCUGGGCCCCCAUUGGCUGGCCGCUCUCCGCUGCAGUUGAGCUCCAGCCGCUCGGAGAGGAUUAUUGAUCUGAAGGGUAAACGUGGAGGGAGCCACAGAGAGGGGUCCAAGCGUUUCUGAGAAGAGAGGCAGCCUCUUCCAGGAAGAAAGUGGUGUCUGCUGGCUGCCCAGCUUGGAGAACCUUCUAUGAAUAAACGGGGACAGAAUGCAAGGCAGUUUGUUGCUACAGUGAUUUAGAAGGAAAACAAGAAGGAGAGAAAGAGAAAGGUCUCACCUUCCGUGCGAGCCGGGGUUGUAGCAUCCUGCUGCCGCCGUCUCUGCUUCUGCUCCUGCAGCUGCCGUGUCUGCCACCAGCUUUGGCUCUAUUUGGGAAUAUAGUCCAUUUGGAACUCAGUAGCACUUUGGAGUUUUAAAGAAUGCCAGCCUUUUUAAAGCUGAUGUCAUGCUGGUGUAAGCCUCCAUCAACUUUCAACUGGGACAACUGCAAUGGCCACUUUACUGGAUGUUCUGCUUGCAAUUUUGCCCUCUAAAGACAACACUUCACAUCACAGCCAACAUAAACUUUUAAGAACCUACAUUCAGAUUUUAUUUAGUCUUGUCAAAUUUUCUCAUAUUUUUAAAAAAAUUUACAAAGGUGCCCAUAUCCUCAUUCUUCUUUGCCUCUUAGGGCUCAUCUUCUUCUCCACCUCCAUGCCUUCACUUGACUUCUGUAAAGCUCUUUGGCCAUGCCAAGCAUCUUUCCCCACUUAGGAUCGUCUCACAGACUGUUUCUUCUCUCUUUUGGUAGGGGUCUCAUUAGUGCUGAGGGACUUUCAAAGACAAUUUAAACAUAAAAACAGAAUAUUCUUGUAUCAAUAGAGUUUAAGUGAAUACUUUACUAUGAUAUAUGAAAAACUUACUGUUCUUUUCAUGCAGAAAUCAUGUUUCAUCUUAAAAAUCAUGUUUCGUCAAAUUGAGCUAGAAACUUAAUGAUGCUUGUUAAUUUCUAAUGACUAAAAUAAAGGC
rnacentral:lncRNA from 1 species